rnacentral:tRNA from 1 species
GCCGGGAUAGCUCAGCUGGGAGAGCAGUAGACUGAAGUUCUAAAGGUCCCGUGUUCGAUCCACGGUCCUGGCA